rnacentral:lncRNA from 1 species
CCAAAUGUCAACUAUCACCGCCUGAGACCGGUGAAGACCCCUUGAAACCCAUCACCUUCACCCAAAAGAACCUCAUCUUUCAUCUGCUUCUUCUCCAUUGUAGCCUCCUAACACAACAUAAACGACAACCAUCUCUUCUUCUUCAUUUGGACAUUAGACAAAACCUUAGAUAGGCAAGAGUAGAAUCUCUAGAACCUUACCCAAAAACAACAGCAGUCGUCACCUUCAACAACAGCUGCUACCCGAGCUUGCCGCAAACUACCAUUGCUCCACCUGUGACA